rnacentral:rRNA from 1 species
GAUGAACGCUGGCGGCGUGCCUAAUACAUGCAAGUCGAGCGAACAGACGAGGAGCUUGCUCCUCUGACGUUAGCGGCGGACGGGUGAGUAACACGUGGAUAACCUACCUAUAAGACUGGGAUAACUUCGGGAAACCGGAGCUAAUACCGGAUAACAUGUUGAACCUCAUGGUUCAACAGUGGAAGACGGUCUUGCUUUCACUUAUAGAUGGCUCCGCGCAGCAUUAGCUAGUUGGUAAGGUAACGGCUUACCAAGGCAACGAUGCGUAGCCGACCUGAGAGGGUGAUCGGCCACACUGGAACUGAGACACGGUCCAGACUCCUACGGGAGGCAGCAGUAGGGAAUCUUCCGGAAUGGGCGAAGGCCUGACGGAGCAACGCCGCGCGAGUGAAGAAGGUCUUCGGAUCGUAAAACUCUGUUAUUAGGGAAGAACAAAUGUGUAAGUAACUAUGCACGUCUUGACGGUACCUAAUCAGAAAGCCACGGCUAACUACGUG